AUGCAACACAGGUUCCUGGAUGCAAUGGCAAUAGUUCAACGAUGGGGUAAACCGGAUUAUUUUGUCACGAUGACAUGCAAUCCCUACUGGGAGGAGAUAACUAUUGAAUUGUUGCCUGGACAGCUGCCACAAGACCGUCCAGACCUUGUAGCAAGAGUAUCCAGAGCUAAACAACGAUCCAUGAUGGACUUACUGAUUAAGGGUAAGCAUUUUGGAGAAGUUGCGGCUUAUGUACAUGUCACUGAGUUUCAGAAACGAGGCCUCCCUCAUGAGCAUAUACUUCUGAUCAUGAAAGCUAAAAGUAAGUUAAGGACCCCGGAUGACUAUGAUCGGGUGAUAUCGGCAGAAAUACCCGACAAAAAUAAAUGGACAAUGUCGGUUUCAUUACCCGCGAGAUUUCUGUGA
rnacentral:rRNA from 1 species